rnacentral:rRNA from 1 species
CUACGGGUCGCUGCAGUGGGGAAUAUUGCACAAUGGGCGCAAGCCUGAUGCAGCCAUGCCGCGUGUAUGAAGAAGGCCUUCGGGUUGUAAAGUACUUUCAGCGGGGAGGAAGGGAGUAAAGUUAAUACCUUUGCUCAUUGACGUUACCCGCAGAAGAAGCACCGGCUAACUCCGUGCCAGCAGCCGCGGUAAUACGGAGGGUGCAAGCGUUAAUCGGAAUUACUGGCGUAAAGCGCACGCAGGCGGUUUGUUAAGUCAGAUGUGAAAUCCCCGGGCUCAACCUGGGAACUGCAUCUGAUACUGGCCAGCUUGAGUCUCGUAGAGGGGGGUAGAAUUCCAGGUGUAGCGGUGAAAUGCGUAGAGAUCUGGAGGAAUACCGGUGGCGAAGGCGGCCCCCUGGACGAAGACUGACGCUCAGGUGCGAAAGCGUGGGGAGCAAACAGGAUUAGAUACCCCAGUAGUC